rnacentral:rRNA from 1 species
UACGGGGGGAGCAAGCGUUGUUCGGAUUUACUGGGCGUAAAGGGCGCGUAGGCGGCGUGACAAGUCACUUGUGAAAUCUCCGGGCUUAACUCGGAACGGUCAAGUGAUACUGUCGUGCUAGAGUACAGAAGGGGCAACUGGAAUUCUCGGUGUAGCGGUGAAAUGCGUAGAUAUCGAGAGGAACACCUGCGGCGAAGGCGGUUCUCUGGGCCUUACCUGACGCUGAGGAGCGAAAGCGUGGGGAGCAAACAGG